AGGAUUUUCAACAGCUUCCAUGAGAAUCUCCAGUUCACACAUGAGAUGGAAAUAGAUGGUAAAAUUCCAUUCUUGGACCUAUUGUUGAUAAGGGAUAGUGGUGGUAUAAAAACUGACCUAUAUUCUAAACCCAUGGCAUCCCACCGUACAUUGCAUUUCAAUUCUCUGCAUUCAGCAUCGCAAAAAAUUGCUGUCGUCAGGGGUAUCAAACGGAAGAUUCUUAGUUUGUCUGAUACAUCAUUUCAUCCGAAGAAUUUUAAGCAGCAAGCGACCAUUUUAUGUCAAAAUGGUUAUCCUAAAACUUUAGUUAAUAAAAUUUUUUAUGGUUCGAAAUACUCAACUAGUAUACCUUCGACUGAUAAUGGUUCCGAUAAAGAGAUUUUCAGAUAUUACAAAUUAGUCUACAUUCCCAAAUUGAGUCAGAUGUUGAUUAGAUUGAUGAAGGGAACAUCUACUAUUGUGGUAUCAUAUUAUAAUAAAACUGUUAAGAGCCUAUUUUCCCGUUUGAAAGAUAUUGAUCCCCCAAUGAGACAAUCCGGUUUGGUGUAUGGGGUUGGUUGUUCGAAUUGUGAUGCUAUUUAUGUUGGACAAACGUGUCAAUAUUUCGGAUCCAGAUUGAGGCAACAUCAGCUAGAUUGUAAAAGACAAUCUGAGGCAACCGCACUUUCCCAACAUGCUAAGAAUGAGGGACAUCUUUUUGAUUUUGAAAAUGCGAAGAUUCUAACCAAGGAGACCAAUUGGUUCAAGCGUAGUUUCAAAGAGAUGUUGCUUAUAAGAAAACACCCCAAUUCUGUGAACUCGAGAUCUGAUAUUGGUUCACUCAGUAUUGCGUAUUCGAAUUUGAUAAAGGAAAUAAAUAAAUAGUUUUUCUCGAGUGCACGCAUUCCGACCGCGUAUGUGCGAUGUUCUUGUUUCAUUCAUAUCAAUGCGUCCAUACCUACCUGUACGUCACGUUAAUUUGAGACCCCGAGAUGAACCUGCUUUUUUCGAAUGAUUUUACGAGUUUGAAUUUUUCAGACGAUUUUUAAUUCAUUAUUCAUAAGCCUGAAGAAGAGAAGAAUUUUUCUCGAAACGUUGCUGCGUGAAUAAAUUGUAAAUAAAGUGUUCCUAAGACUGAAAA